rnacentral:rRNA from 1 species
UACAAUGCACGAAAGUGUGAUAAGGGAAUCCCAAGUGCUUACACUAAGUGUAGGCUUUUGCCAAGAGUAAAUACCUUGGCGAAUAAGUGGUGGGUAAGACUGGUGCCAGCAGCCGCGGUAACACCAGCGCCACGAGUGGCAUACACAUUUAUUGGGCUUAAAGCGUCCGUAGCCGGUUUUGUUAAUCUUUUGUGAAAUCAUAGGGCUUAACUCUAUGGCGUGCAGAAGACACUGCAAAACUUGGAACCGGGAGGAGUCAGAAGUAUUCUGGGGGGAGCGGUAAAAUGUUAUAAUCCCCGGAGGACUACCUGUGGCGAAGGCGUCUGACUAGAACGGAUUCGACGGUGAGGGACGAAGGCCAGGGGAGCGAACCGGAUUAGAUACCCGAGUAGUCCUGGCAGUAAACUCUGCGAGCUAGGUGUUGCACAUUCUCCGUGAGUGUGCAGUGUCGAAGCGAAAGUGAUAAGCUCGCCGCCUGGGAAGUAGGUCGCAAGACUGAAACU